UUCUCAUAGUCCAUAGUCGAGGGAGAGAGAAUCUUAAGCCCGCUCCACACCUAGCGCAGAGCCAAAUAUGGGACUCUAUCUCAUGACCCUGAGAUCAUGACCUGAGCCGAAAUCAAGAGUCAGCCACUUAACUGACUGAGCCACCCAGGUGCCUCCCAUGUGGCUAAUUAAAAUGAAGGAAAGUAAAUUCAGUUCUUAGUGAAAAAAAAAAUCUCAAAAGAGGAAGAUUCUAAGUGAUUCAGUUCAGCUAACUGAUGGAUUCCUUUGAGUUCAGCUAACUACUUUUUAACUUAACUGCCCACCUUGGUCCAAUCAGUCCCCGUGGAGAAGGAAGUGGGAGGGGGGAUCUUGUGUAGACUAGAGCACAUGCGGGGCUGAGUGGUAGAGGUGGGUACUCUCUUUGGCGGGGGGAGGCAGCUGGUGGACAUUUCUAAUAUUCCCUAUGACCUUCUCUGGUCCUCAAGACAAUCCUGAGACAUAAGCAUUGUAUCCCCAUUAAUGACCCUUUUAGAAGUUGAAGAAUCUGAGACUCCGAGAAGUGAAGGGAGUUAAGCAAAGUUGCAUAGUUAUUAAGAGCAAAAGCCAGGAUUCAAAUCCAGGCCUUUUUUACUUUAAAAAUGAGCUCCUUUUCCAGUAAGCUGGGAACAUGCCCCUUUCAAAUGAUUUGGGAACUGGCCAUCCGGAGUUUUCUCCAUCCCAGUAUAGAGCUUGUCGAGAAGCCACUCUUCCCCUGUCACAUACCUGCCUUACCCACAGCACGGAGCUAUCAGUGGGACCAAGUGAGAGGAUGGAAGGCAAACAGCUUCAGAGUACACAGGUGUUAUGUACAUAUAAAGAUUAUUAUACCCAUUUUCAAGAUUGAUAAAAGUCCCCAUUGAACUUAGGCUGUGGGGCUUGUCAGGACGACUUUGGCCUUAGUGUUGUUUCCACCAAAAAUUCCAGAGCCGGGUAUGGAAGGCAGUGAUGGUUCUAGAGCUGGCUUUCUGCAAAACUGCAGGAUGUGCCUUCUUGUGCCUCAAGUUCACCUCGGAGCCUGGGCUUCGAGUCGGGCAGACCUGGGUCCGAGUCCCCAUUCUGCCAUGUUCAGCAUUGUGCCUAUGGUUGGGUAAAUUGUGCACCUGUCUCAUUUUCCACCUGUGUAAAAUGUGGGUGAUAGAAUAGUACCUGCCUUACAGGUUUGCCAUGAGGGUUAAAUGUUCCCCCUCCCAGGGUAUACCAGGAAAUGUGUGAGGCUUGUUUGCUUUGUCAUAAUGUGUGUGUGUGUGUGUGUGUGUGUGUGUGUGUGUGAGUACAUGCGCGUGCAUGUUUAUAUGUGUGUAGAGGCCUCAGGCAUUUAAUGCCUGAGAAACACUGAACUCUUCUGCCCUGAAAUCUGGCAUUGUUGAAUGGCUGGUGGUGAGUUCCUAAAUUCACCAAGUUUCUGGAAUAGAGUUUGGAUUAAUUUGCUUCCUGGAUGAAAUCAAGUCACAGCCCACUUUCCCAGGUCUAGGGGGUUGGGUGCCAGACCUGGAGGUCACUGGGCCUGGGGCUUUACCUCCUGCCCAGAGAUGCUGUCUUUAUCCCUCACACUGCCUUUUGGUGCAGUCAAGCUGCAGAGGUCACACAGAGUCUCGGGAACCCUGAGGAUACUACCGUCCAGGCAUACUUUCAAGGGUCCCCUGUGGUCUCCGUGCAGCCAACCCCGCCCAUCCAGACUCAACAUCUUGCUGGAGAUGCAUCUUGCAUCUCCCCUGACUCCCCUCCUGGCCCUUGGGGCAUGUUGCCUUAUACUAGCAUUUGCUCUUUAUGAAUGGUUCUAAAUGCCUUUUAAUAAACCACUCAAGAAUGUAUGUAUUAUUGAUGUAUCUAUGUUUUAAAUACAGAGCAUUGCUAUGAGAGUGACCAUUAGUUGUUUUUAGCUGGGAUUUUUCCCAAACACAAAUCUGCAUCAAGGAAUUUUAGAAUUUCAGAGCCAUGUACUUGACUUCCUUUAGCAGAACUUGGACUUCAGUGACCAUGUUAAGUUUAAGGUCAUUAUUCUGAAAGAAAAUAGUAGAAAAAUGAUGGCAUAUUACCAUCUUUUCUCUUUUCUCAUACCUGGUACCUUGACACUAAGCCCAUGCACGUUCCCGUUAGAUGCCAAAGACAUUUUUUUCCUCUUUCCUACUGAAACGUCUUUGCACACUCCUCUGACUUUCAUUGUGGGGUCCUGAUCUGUUUCCGUAGAUGCAGACUCAGAACUCAGUCCUGUCUCCCACUCCUAUUUCCUUAGGUCAGACAUAUUCCGACUCCUUGCUGUAACGCUGAGGUUACUCACAUGCCUACAUUCCAAGAAGCAUGUCCUUUCUGGAUUUCUAGUUUUGCACGGCAGCUAGUUCCCUAGUAAAUCUUGAGCAGAAUUCAGAGAGAAAACUGGGAUCCCUUUUUCUCUGGGAUUUGGAUUUCCUGGGCCUAGGCCCCCUGGACAGUGAUUUUUGCCCUCGUUUCCUUGUUUGGAAUCUGCAAAGUUGCUACUCAUGACCAUUUAUUACUUCCUGGAUUCUUUCUCUACAACGAGGCAGACUUUGGUCAUGGCUCUGCGGCAGGCAGAUAAACUAGACUUUCCACAAGAGUAAUUGAAUCGAAUGAGAAUUUAGCAUGUGUCCAUUCUAAUAGACCUUGGAACUCUUUGUUAAAAUAAUUAAGUACAGAAGUACUAGACAAUGUGAGAGCACUCUGCAAAGGAUAGACGCUCAGGUGGGAGAUCUUGUUCCAAAAUCCUAAACCAUUACCUCUCACAAAGGCAAUAUAUUACUUGGUAAAUUAACCAUGACGCUUCAGCAGAUUCAAGAAAGAGCAGAAUUCCACAGCUCCUGCCUUUCCUCCAACUUUUCUGUCAAGGAAUUGGAAAGAGAGAGAAGAGCCAUCGAUAAAGGGCAGGUUAGACAUUUUGCUUCAUUAAACAUGCUGGUCUGGAUAAAUUAGAGUUCAGAAAACUGGACCAUGCAGGUGAGCUUAAUUAGCCCCAGGCAGUGACCUCCUGGGGCCUUAAACACCAGGAAAGGUGCUAAAGAGCCAGAGACAGGAUUGCACUUUGAUUUUGGUUUUUCAUCACAGAGAGGUAAACAGUCCCUGAAAUCCUGAAUUUUGGAAUGCUGACGCUGAACUGAUGAGCUUGACAACGGAAGAAGCCAAGGGGCCAAAAGGGGCCCUGGACACUCACAGACCAUCGAGCUGGGGUGGGGGGCCAUGUGAUGUUGCACCAACAAAGGAGAGAGCUACUUGGGGGUUUGCACUGGUUACCAGGGUCCACCAUGAGUCACCAGUGGGAUGCACCUGCCACGGGCUAAUGGAAAGCUCAACCGCAUUAAUGGAACCGUGGGCGUUUCCAAAAGAGGGUACAAUGACCCCCCGGAGUGAACACACCUGGCCACAUCUGGAACAUAGUGCUCCUGCAUUGAUCUGGAUGCCGUGGAAAGGAGAGUUUAAUAUGACAUUAACCCUGGGCAACAGGGUCUGCAGUUUGAUUUUGGUUUUUAUCGCAUUGAAUUUUUUCCCCUACUGUUUCUCCCCUCUGCCUGAAGGUGGGAGUCUCCAACUGGCUGGGUAGUCCUAGGCCCUAGAACCAGCGUGGCUUGCUCAGUGAUGGGCACAUAGGACAGACGCAACCAUCUCUGAAUCACAUGAUGAACUAAAACUAUCGUUCUAUUUAAUGGAGUCCAAUACGAAGAGAAGCCCAACUAUAUAACUCACAAGACAAUGGAAUUCUGUAGCUGAUCAAAUGUCCCUCCUGAUAACCAGGUUACUUCUCACCUUUAGCAAAAGCGCAAGCCCUGCGAAUGUGUGUUUGAGGUACCAGGUUCACCUCCAGCUUCACCUGCCUGCCUGUGUCUCUCUGACUCUUCACCUUGCCGGAUAUUCCCCCCUCUGGAGAUGUCUGUUUGUAAUUUACCAAAACAUCCUUUUUGGAAGAUGAUGAGAACAUUUAAGAUGAUUGAUGCAAUGUGGAAUCCUCGUACGUGGCUUGCGGGACCCUCUGGCGCCCGCACUGUGCUUGCACGGGAUUUGGAAGAGUGGGAGUGAAGGGGGCCGCUCUGUCUUGACGGGAACUAGGUACAGGUUCUCAACAAAGACGGCAGUGCUCCCUGGGGGGAGGGUGUUGGAAAAUGUGUUGGGUGUGGGGAGACUGAUUGCCACAAUAUUUAGGGGGUGCUAUUGGGAUUUACUGGACAAGGGACAAAUCUGCUGAUGUCCUACCAUGAGGGAAACAGCCCCACGCAAAUUUUAAUAUAGGUAAAACAAAGCUCAAAGUGACCAGCCUAGCACCUAACUCCAUUUUACAUAUUUUUAAAAUGAUGUUGUUCAUGGUUCUAAUAUAUACUGAAUUUUCCAGGAAUGCAACUCCCACAUAAACCAAGGGAUGAUUGUACUUUGUUGCAGAACUUGACCAAGAAUCGAUCAUCACUUUGAAAUAUUCCAUCAUCAGUGACCCUGCUUCUGGUGACACUUUUGUAUUGUCUUAAUCUUGGACUACAUGAGGGCAGAACACUUUGAACACUGACUGGCCAAGAGCAGAAUGGAAACAUCUCCAAGAACACAAAGCUGCAAUUUGCCGUGAUUCAUCCCGAGUGAAUGCAGCCCUCUGAGAGCUUUGUUGUAAGAAGAACACACUUGCCAGAACCCUUCUGUGUGGCCACAAGCUCCCUCAUCUAUAUGUGGGAUACUGAGGACCCCAGUCUCGUUAUGAGAAAAACAUCAGACACGCCCUGACUGAGAGACAUUUUACAGAGUAUCUGACCAGUACUCUUCAAAACUGUGAAGGUCAUCGAAAACAGGGAAAGUCUGAGAAGCUGUCACAACCAAGAGGAAAGUAAGGAGACAUGAUGACUGAAUAUAACGCAGUUUUCAGAAUUUAAUUAUGUGUCUUGGUGUGGAUUUCCCUGGAGUUCUCCCGGUGGGAUUUGCUCAUCUUCUUGGAACUGUAGGUUUGUGUCUUUUGCCAAAUUUGGGAAGUUUUUAGCCAUAAUUUUCUCUAAUACUCCUUCAGACCCAUUCUCUCUCUCCUCUCCUUCUAGGACUCUGAUUCUACAAAUGCUGGCAUUUUGGUUACUGUCCCACAGGUCCUUGUGACUCUGUUCAUUUUACCCAGUCUGUUUUGUCUCUGUUGUUUACACUGAAUACAUUUUAUUACUUUCUAUUCAAGUUGACUGAUUUAUCCUCUGGCAUCUCCAUUCUAUUGAGCUCAUUCAGGAAAUCGUUACCAUUUCUAUUAUAUUUUUCAAUUCCAUAAUUUCCAUUUAGAACAUUUUUAUACCUUUUAUUUGCUGAAAUUUUUUAUUCUUAUUUACUUCAAAAAAUUUAUAAGUGAUUACUGAAGUAUUCUUAUGAUGGCUUUAAAAUCCUUGUUAGGUAAUUCCAAAAUCUGACUCAUCUCAGUCUUGGUUUCAAAUAAUUCUCUCUCUUGCUCUAUCUCUAUCUCCAAACUUUGGAUCUUAAUUAGUUAGCAUCUGCUCCUUCUAGUCUGGUCUAUUCCUUUGAGUCUUUGGCCCAGUGCAGUGUUGGCUCCCUGGGUUAGGUCUCUUAUCAAGGUAAAAUAUUUUAUACUGGCUUUUGAGGUAUAAAACUUGAUUUGGAUGUAGGAGCUAUGGUUUUAUAUUUUCAUCAUUCCUUGUGAACUCUAUUUUAUAAUCUCUUAAUUUGACCUUUCUAGCAUUUAAAGAUUUUGGCUUUGGGAUACAUAGCCCUCCACCAUCCCUCCCUCUCAGUUUUUCGUUCUUUCUCUCUCUCUCUCUCUCUCUCUCUCUCUCUCCCUCUCUCCCUCUCUCCCCCCCUCCCUUCCUCCCUCUCUCCCUUCCUUCCUUCCUUCCUUCCUUCCUCCAGGCCUCCAAAGUCACCUUCACUCAUCUCCUACAUUGGUGCUUUCAGGAGCCUUUUUUCUAGUCUUUUUCAUUCCUAAAGACUUUUCAGUUCUAAUUUAAUAGGCAGAGUGAAUCUUGUGGUUUAAGGAAAAUGAGUAACAAUUUCAUUACUUCAAAGUAGAUGUAGUGGGUAAACCAGUUUGGACUGCUGUGGGGGAGAAUGGGAGGCCUAGUUGUUAGGGAAGUGGCUCUCCGUCUCUCGAUGUCCCGGGGACAGUUGCUGUAGGUAAUAGGUCUCUCCCGGCCCCAGAACAGAGCAUCCUGGCCCCAGUGGACUCCCUGGACACUCUACCUUUACCUCCAUUAUUACUGAACUGGGUCUUUUGGGGGUCUCUAGGCAAGAGCAACUGACAAGAGGCCAGCCGGGUUGGAGGCCAGGGUUUCCUGGGGCUUGUGCUCCAGCACCAGGGAGACAGCACAAAGAUGAGAAUCCUCAGGCUGACUCCCUGGGGAGAGGUCAGGGAGACUUUUUUAAAGAAACUUAGGUGGGAAAAGGGUGACUCAAAGCCCAUAGAGGCAGUAAUUUAUUAGCACCUGUAUUCUUAAAGGCUAUUCCUCUUCAUGCCUCAUGUGUGUUUAAUCUCCAUCCCUGGGCAUGAUUUUUAGUAUUAUAAUAAGGAAAAAAGUCAACGAAAGAACAGCCAUGGGGUCCACCUUGGCGCAGACUGGUUUGGCCUUCCCCAGUCUUGGUAGAGGACCCCCCCCCCUUUGUUAAGCAUCCUGCCUCCGCAUUCCUAGGAGACAAGCGCAUAGGGUUUCAGCUAUAAAGGAAUGCUGGGUUUCUCCCUCAGGAUUGAGGGGACCUGACUCCAGUCCCUACUCUGUCUCAGGUUGGUGGGCUGUCCAUUGUUUCAGCUUCUCGUUCUGUAUUUAGAUUGGAGUCGUGUGGUGUGAAAAAAAACGGAUGUGUGGCUACUGGGGCAGUAAACGUAAGGCAUCGUAGGAAGAGGCACUGAGGGAGCCUCCCCUCCUCCUUGCUCACACCGCCUUUUGUAGGCACCUGGGGUGGGCACUGAGCCUGGUUCUGCUUUGGAGGAGGGAGGGAGGUGGGUUUGGAGAGUGAGCCUAGACCCUCCCCUCCCGAGUGUCCCCAGGGAACAGCUAGACAAGGAGACACAGGGACCAACCUUCCAAGUUCAAACUCCCAUCUCACUCUUCCCAUUCUUUCUCCCUGAGAAUCUUUUGCUCCUGGGUAAGUGCCAAUAACUUGAGCACACCGUCUCCCCACCAGUUCCCUGCAAUGGGCAAUAACUGCUCUGGCUUUAAGAAAUGGCUGAUUCAGUGGCUGCGGCCUCUGCCCACCCUGCUCACCGUCCCCGCGCUCAUGCCCCAGGCAAGAGCAAAGACCACCGCGUUGCGGGCUUCGCGCCACUGGCGUGGGCAAGAGUGCGCUGGUGCGGAGGUGGGUGCGUGGCAACUCUCGCGAUGAGUAUCUGCCAACCGUCGAAGAUACCUUCCGCCAGGAGCUGAGCUUCAACCACAGCGUUGGGGUGCUGCACGUCGCCGAUACCACAGGCAGGCACCGUUAUGCGGGUCUGCAGCGCCUCUUCGUUGCCGGGGGCCCUGCUUUCCUCCUGGCUUUCUCGGUCACCGAGAGGCAAGCCCUGCAGGAGCUGAAGUCUUUCUAUGAGCUGAUCCGCAAAGUCAAAGGCAAGACCUUGCAUAAGUACCUUACCAUGCUGGUGAGCGACAAAUGCCAAGAAAGCCUCUGGAGUCGACGUAAGUGACUGCGCUGCAUGCGCGUUGCAGUGGAAUUGCACCUUUUUGGAGACCUCCGCUAAGACGGCGAUCAACGUGCAGGAGCUAUUUCACAUGCUGCUGAACCAUGACAGGAGGCCUGCCACCUGCCUUCACCAUCCCCAGAAGAAACCCCAGAUGUCCAAGACCGUGGAGAAGGGGCUUAGCAAGUGCAUCAUCAUGUGAGCCCGGGGUCUUAGGAUCCUGACCUUCUCCUCUUACCGUGUGCAGAAAACACAGAGCGGUCCCAGUGUAACGUGUUACCUGUGCGUGGACAACUUCUGUGCUGCGGGUUAGGUGACAACUAGAUGACAGCAAAUGUCCCUUUACUCUCCACACCCAAAAUGUGGCUUGAACUCACAACCCUGAGACCACGGAUCAUGUGUUUUGCUGACUGAGCCAGCCAAGCACCUCUCUACUUCCUUAAAUCUGGUCCUGACCUUGCGAGUUGGGUGAAUGAAAUCAAGGAGCACCCGCGAAAGCCCGGCGCACACAGCCCCGCACACGCUAAGUCCUCAGCAGCUUCAUGGAAGGGGACUGAUGCUACUUUCUCUCCCUACCUCUCCUAGACCUUUCCCCCAUGGGAGCAUGCAGUCUGGUCAGAAUGCCGGCAAUUAGCCAAGCAUGCAGAAGACCACGGACUGAACCCCGGGCCUGAGAGUUAGUGCUAUCUAUGAGUCUAGGGAGGACCUUCGCUUCCGUGUCUACGUACCGUCUCCUCCAUUUGGACACCAACUCCACAAAAGCAGAGGGUUCUUUUGUUUUGUUUGGUGUUACCUUCCAGGCACCUUGCAACAGUGUCUGGCAUAACACAGACCCGUCAUAAAUGCAGCUUGAGCACCUGAAUGAAGGAAAGAACGUACGGAUGAUUCUCUCUGUGCUGAUGAUAUCUCGGGGGCUGGGUAAAACUACAAAUGCCUCCGGCGAGUCAGAGAAGAGCCUGAGCAUCUGACGUCUUCAAAUGCUCAACAGUCAAUUCUGAGGUCCGAGAGCCCAUUGUUAAAUACUGAGAAAUUUCGUGAGCUGGUUGCUCAACACAGCCAUUGUUAAAAAUUAGAGUAUAUUGAACCAUAAUUAAAUACAUUGUUUAAUUAUAUUUAAUGUAAGUACUGAAAUCCAGAAUACUCAAGAUUCAUCACUGUAAUUCCUAAUCAUGUUACUGCAUUUUGCUGUUAUCUGUGUUCUUGAGCAUUUUCUGCUGAUUAUCUCUCAUGGUGGAAAUGCUCUGUUAUGUGCUAUUGCACAUCUCUUCCCAGCUCUGCGCGCAGUGACAUCACGCAGGUAGCUUGAAAAUGGCCAUCACGGGAGUAUCGACACCACAGAAAUUGCCAAACACUAUACAUCAGGGCUUGGUCCCUCUGAAGAGCCAGCUGUUGAACAUUUACUAGCAUCGCAGUGGACACGCUCAAGUAUGACAACCACUGAUGGAAGGAGAAGAGAGUGCAUUCAGAUCAACCACGCUGCUCACUAGCUGUGUGACCUGAGUAGUUGCUAAACCUCUCUGAGCCUAACUUUCCUUAACUCUAGACUGGAGCUGAUUGUAUAUUUCUCCUUCCCUGGCCCUUUCUGUCCCUGCCUGAGCCUAACUUAGAGGAAGAGAAAAUGAAGGUAAAGCAAUUAUUCCUAUGCUUGGCAUAGAAGAGGCCUUCAGGAAAAGUCCUCUAACUGCUCUGGGAAGCUGAAGGGGGUCUUUUCCUGAGAGGGGCCUCUCUUGCUGGGUACCAUAACAUGCAAAUGUAUUAAGUAGGCAAAGGGGGGCAGGGGAAAGGUGUUCCUGCCAGUCAUUGAAAAGAAGCCUGACGGAGAGAGGGAGCAUGACAUUUUGGGAUUCUCUAGGUGAUUCCAUUAGGCUAGAACAAUAGUGCUCACACUUUUAGGUGUUGCGACCUCUUUACAAAGCUAAAAAUUAUUGAGCAUCCCUGAAAGGUUUUGUUUAUAUGGGAUAUAUCUAUUGGUAUUUAUGGUGUUGAGUUAAAACUUCGAAAAAUUUAGAAGAUGUGUUUACUAAUGUAAAAUAAGAAUAAUAAAAACUAAUUGUGUACUCACAUAAAUAACAUCUUUUAUGAAAAAUAAAUAUAUUUUCUAAAGCAAAAACUAUUUUGUGAGGAGCUGGCAUAGAUUUACAUUUUUGCAAAUCUAUUUAAUGUCUGGCUUCGAGAAGACCGCUGGAUUCUCAUACCUGCUUUUUCAAUCUGUUGUGAUGUCACACAUCCUGUAGCCUUGGAAAGACUGUAUAUUCAGGAGAGAAUGAAAGGGAAUAAAGCAAAGUGUCUUAACAUUAUUAUGAAAAUAGCACUGACCUCAAACCCCUUGAAAAGGCCUGAUCCUCAGACCACACUUUGAGAAUCUCUUGUAUUGUGUAUAAAGUUCAAAGUAUGAGGUGAAGGAACUGAUGAGUCUUGAGAGAGAAGCUGGGGCCAGAUAGCAGCUUAUGGAGUACAUGGAGAGCCCUCGAGGGCUUGAGAGCCAGACAGUGACAAGAUCACUUUGUUAUUUUGGAAGAAUCAUGGGUUAUAAAGGAGGAAAUAGAUCAGAAAGGCCAAGAGGGGCUUGGGGUAGGGGACCAGUUAGGAGGUCAUUGCCAUAAAGCAGAUGAGACAUGAGAGUGGCCUGAGCUGCAGAUGUGGCAGCAAAUGUGAAGGGCGAAGGUCGGAUGGCAGAGUUAACAGGUAUGGGAUGAAUCGUGUGUGAGGGGAGAGGAAGGGGGCAGGGUGGGCCCCAGGUUUCUGACCUGAGCUGAUGAGUGGAUAGUGGGGACACAGGAGGAAGAGCAGGUUUGGGGUAGGAGAUAAUUAACUCCGCUGUGUGUGCAAUCAGAAUUUUCUAGUAGACAGUCAACAGAUGGGUCAGAGAUGGGAGAGGUACUGGGCAGAGAAUAUGGUGAUCUGGGGGAAACAGGCUGAGGCUUCAAGGGACUAACAGAUUUGGCUGUGGUCACGCAGCUUCUGAGCACCUUUAACGUUUUUCAUCAGCGCUAAUGUAUGAACAUUGUUAACACAGUACCUGGCACAUGGUGGUCACGGAAAUAAAUUGGUUGU